GCAUGAUGUCGGGGCAGCAUGAGUACGAGCAAUUUUUUUUUUGCCGAUGCCCGUGAUGCCGCCCCCCACCACGAUGCCGCCUCGGGCAACCGCCCGUGUCGCCCGUAUCUAAAACCACUACUGCUGAUGUUCAUCUAAAAAAGUAUUAGCCGUUCAAUCCGUUAUACAGAGACUAUACGGAGACUUAGCAGCUAAUGCUCGGCUGAGCUCUAAAGCUUCAUACAGGUUCCAGGUAUUUAAUCCCUAGUGGUUGGCUUUCCCACUUCAGGUGUGAAAAAGACUUGCGAUGGCCGGGAAUCGAACCCGGGUCAACUGCUUGGAAGGCAGCUAUGCUCACCACUAUACCACCAUCGCUUGACACACACAUCUGGAAUCAGGCUUCUGUUCAGCCAGCGUUUCAGCCAGGUCUUUAAACAGCUGAGAGAGGAGGAGAGUGGAAAAUAGGAGGAGCAAAGGAGCCAACGAGGCAAGAGAAGAGAAGUGAAGUGUUGAGUGAUGUUUACAUCAAGAAAAAAAAAAGAUGAAAGCUAGUUUUAUUAAAAACCAACGCCUUUCCUCCAUUAUACUGUGACGAAAGAGACCUGCGAUGGCCGGGAAUCGAACCCGGGUCAACUGCUUGGAAGGCAGCUAUGCUUACCACUAUACCACCAUCGCUUGAUGCACAUCUGGAAUCAGGCUUCUGUUCACUCCCCAGUUCAUAAAACUAUGUGGCGCAAAGGAGCCAACACAGCAAGUGAAGCGAAACAUAAAAAAAGCACUGCAGAAGCUGCUUCAGUUAGAAACCAAAAGAUUGUCUGUCUUCUCUCACAUCCUACUAAUCCUGGAGUGCUCACUCACCAAAGUAGCUGCCUAGGUGGAAAAAGUACAGCCUUUCUUUACUUAAGGAGAAGUACAGAGACACUCUGCUAAAGGUUGAAGUUGAUUUAACUUUUUUACUCAAGUAAAAGUGAAAAAGUACCACCUCUGAAAUGAACUCAAAGUGAAAAAUAGUACACUGAUUAUGCUGUCUUUAUACUUUACUUGUAAUGUCUGUGUAGGUUCCAGGUAUUUAAUCCCUAGUGGGGGGCUGUCCACUUUGGAGAUGGUCUUGAGGGUCGUUGUCCCACUAUUGAUCCAGGUCCCAGGUCAACUGCUUGGAAGGCAGCUAUGCUCACCACUAUACUACCAUCGCUUGAUGUGCAUCUGGAAUCAAGCUGUUCAGCCAGCGUGUUUAAACAGCUGAGAAGCAUUACACGUUCUCAAGUAGACCAGGAGCCACACGAGGACACCAAAGAGAAAGAAAUCCUCAGUUUUCAAAGUCUUCAGUGGGCCUACAGCAGCACAUGUCGGGAUCUCGUCCUAGUACUUGUGAAGGCUGCCGGCAGGUGGCAGUAUCUGUCUGCAAUGCUCUGUGGAAACCGUGACCGUGACAGUAAAUACUGCAACUUUCAUUUCAGUGUGACAGGCACGUCUCUGGGCUGAGUUCACCGCCCACUCACAUGUGACGCUUAUAGAAAGAGGAAGAGUGGGCCCGGGCUGCAGAUAGGACACAACACUUUACACCACACGGGUUUCCCUGAUGCAAAUUCAGUAGCAGAUACUGCCCAUGACUAAAUAUGAACAAAUAAAAGUUGUCUAGUGGCGAACUUUGCUAUAACUUGAUUCACGUUUGAUCUCUGUGAUCUAGCUGCUAGAUUGGGGAAUUCAGGAAAACCCACAUGAAGAGGCUUCCAAUGAAAAAGCUAGUUUGGGGUUUUUUACUUUUUUUUAUUGCUGUUUACUGCUGAAAUAUUGUAGAAAAUGCAACAUGAACAUUUCUAGUCAUGCAGUUGUGAUUCAUGUAGAGUGAUUAGUGCUGGGUAAAUCUGAUCAGAUUUGCUGAAAUGUGGGAAAACUGAGAAUUAGAAAGCCAACAGGGAAUUCAAAAGAGUUGUUACAGUGAGAGAAAGCUGGUGUUUCAUACUCUGUAAUCACCUUUAAUUUUGGUCCAGACUGAAAGGUUUGGACAAGUUUUGCAUGUUAUUGCUGUGGGAUACUGCAAAUGUUGGUAUCAAGCCAAUAACAAGUAAAUACUACAUAAUUUUUGCCGAUACCAACACUGAUACCCAUACUGAUGAUCUACAGAGGUAGUGUUUAUAAGGGAGAGCAUUGUGUCAUGAUUUAUGGGAUAAAUCAACACCAAUUUGCUAAUUCUGAACACAUUUUAAAGAGCACGUAAUCACUUUGAUUUUUAUUUUCCACAAUAAUAAGGUAAUACAGCAAAACACACCUUCCAGCUGAGUUUUGUUGUUCAUGUAUUUCAAACAUGGGACUUUUGGAGACCCAGGAUGCUCUAAAGAACUUCGGCUUCACUUCUGUUAUUUAAAUAAGUCAUGGGGGAUAAAUAAAAUAGACACGACAGUCAACCCCCAAAGGUUUAGACAUUUUUCAUAUUGCAUAUUACAUAUUUCGUUUUUUCCUUUUAUAAAAGAAUAAUUUAUUGAACCCACUUCAGAGGGCUACAUACUGAACUUAGAGUACAGAAACGUUAGAAGUGUCGAUAUUUGGAUUGAUCCAGCCACCUCUAUCGCAUGGAUUGUUGUGCAUUUGGACAUUCAUAAAGUCCAGCAAGCUCAUAUUUGCACUCAUGUCUGUAAUUGCAGAUGGAUUCCCUCUCUCCUCCUGGUUUGCAGUCCCCAUCAAUCACUACCCUUCUAAUGUGUAAAAACCAUAAUACUGAUAAUGAUAAUGCAGAGUUGUAGUUAGAAACAAGGUGAUGAAGGACCUUAAAAGUAAUUUUAAAAGAUCUUAAAAUCUGGUCUAAAGCUUGCUGGAAGUUGGUGCAAAAUGCUGAAACAGGAAUUGUUCUAGCCUGGUUGGGGCGUUCUGUAGAGUCGGCAGAGUUUCAAUGCUGUUCUGCUAAGGCAGGUGAAAAGGUUAUUGUAGUAAUAUCUCCACAUAACCUUCAAAAUAAAACAGGAAGUAAAUCUAAAGGGGGACCAAGAGCAAACUCAAAAUGAAAGAAGCAGAUAGCGGGGAACAAAGGAGGCACAUGAAAAAAGACUAACACUCAGAAAAACAAGAACUGACGAUUUACAAGAAAAAUGUAAGAUUCACAAUAAGAGGCACAGAAAAAGCAAAAGUUAAGGAUAAUAAAUGGGAACCUCAACAAGAGCAGUAUGAACUCUGACCUUUCAUCUCACGUGGGCAGAGGUGGGUAGAGUAGCCAAAAUUGUAAUCAAGUAAUAGUGGCACUACUUCAAGGUAGUUUUACUCAGGUAAAAGUAAAAGGUAGCCAUCCAAGAAAUAAGUAAGAGUAAAAACAUUUUUAGUAAAAAAGGCUACUUGAGUAACUGAUCAUAAUAUUUGAUUUAAUGUUUAAAAAUGAGAUAAUCAGACAGACAAAAAUGUAAAGUUUUGUGUAAGUUUUGGUAUUUUAAAGAGCAAGCAAAAAAAAAAAACCCUAAAUACUAAAUAAUAGUACUAAAUACUAUUAAUAACAUGAUUGCAAAAUAAUAAAUCUAAGCAGAAGAAACACUUUCCCAAAUCAUUAUUAAACUAAUAUUUAGAGUAGGUAUAUUACCUAUGGUGCUACUUUACUUCUCCAAAUGGCACAACAGGCUCAGCAGAUAGAAUUACAUUAAAACAACAAACCUUAUGUACAACUGUAGGUUUGUGUCUGUGUCUCAUGCAUUUUUGGUUAAAACGUGUUUAUUAUUCCUUCACUGAAGUUACUCACAUUGAGCUGAGUAGUCAGAAUUUUUUCUCAAGUAAGAGUAGUGAUACAUCAUAAUAAUAUUACUCAAGUAAAAGUAAAAAGCCCAGUGUAGUAAAAUUACUCCUAAAAGUGAUUUUUUUCUAAAAAGUUACUCAAGUAAAUGUAGCUACGUAAAUGUAAUUAGUUACUACCCUUCUCUGCACGUGGGUUAUGUGUUCUUAUGCUGAUAUCAUUAUUCGAAACUUUGCUAACGUCAUGAAGAAUCUAUGGCAGAAAAGAAGGAAGUGUUUGUUAGAGCCCCUUUAAACCCUGUUGGUAUAAUCAGAUUCUAGGUUUCACUGGUAAAUGGGUUGUCUUACCUCAAAAAGCCAAAUAGAAAAGUUGCAACAGAAUUACAUUCAUGAUUCCAGUACACCACCUUGAUAUUUGAACUAAUUACAGUGAUCUAAGGAUAUAUGUCAUUGGAUGUUAAAUGUUUCAUUGUAUCAUUCGUUGCAUCUCUGAUGAAAUGCUUGUGUUUUUUCUGUACAUUUAUUUGCAUUUUUCCAUUAGUACAGAUAUAACAUACAGGUAACAUUCAGGUAUCAAAUGUAAGAGCUAACAAUCAUGAUUUUAAUAAACUGAUUCUCAGUAAUGCCUCCCGUCUGUUGCUCAUUCUAAAAAACUGUCAGCCCAGCUCCAGGAGCUCCUUCUGCAGACGUGGGACUGGUGACGGUUAACGUUUGUAAGAAAAAGAAAGUAGAGGCAGUCAGCUGACUGAAUGUGAAACAUACUGACAUACUCAAGUUUUGAAUUUCAUUCACCUUUCCAGGAAUCUCCCUUAGCAAGUUCAAAAAUGAAUAGCUGCUAACGAGUUAUGGCUGCAGUGACAUAUACACAGACAAUUUGGGAUUUUUGAGUUCAUUGCAUUUAUUGCAGAAUGACAUUUUGAAAACUCUUGGUAAUUUCUACACUUAAUACUAAAGAAAGCAGAAGUAAAUUAUUGUUGCUUUCAGCAGGAACACACGCUCAUAAGGUGCCCAAAAUGCUGAGUAUAUCUAAUUUAAUUGCAUGUAAAUUUUGUUACAUAAUUACAAUGUAAAAUAUUAAAUUCAGUGGAAU